AAUCUGUGAUGUGGACAUAUAUUCAUCAGGUCCUUGAACCUCUCCCAACAAGCUUGGAAGGUCUCAUCACCUUUCUGCAUGAACUGACUGAUUUGCUCUUGCAAGUAU